rnacentral:rRNA from 1 species
CUUGGUCAUUUUAGAGGAAGUAAAAGUCGUAACAAGGUCUCCGUUGGUGAACCAGCGGAGGGAUCAUUAUAGAGUUUUCUAAACUCCCAACCCAUGUGAACUUACCUUUUGUUGCCUCGGCAGAAGUUAUAGGUCUUCUUAUAGCUGCUGCCGGUGGACCAUUAAACUCUUGUUAUUUUAUGUAAUCUGAGCGUCUUAUUUUAAUAAGUCAAAACUUUCAACAACGGAUCUCUUGGUUCUGGCAUCGAUGAAGAACGCAGCGAAAUGCGAUAAGUAAUGUGAAUUGCAGAAUUCAGUGAAUCAUCGAAUCUUUGAACGCACAUUGCGCCCAUUAGUAUUCUAGUGGGCAUGCCUGUUCGAGCGUCAUUUCAACCCUUAAGCCUAGCUUAGUGUUGGGAAUCUACUUCUUUUAUUAGUUGUAGUUCCUGAAAUACAACGGCGGAUUUGUAGUAUCCUCUGAGCGUAGUAAUUUUUUUUCUCGCUUUUGUUAGGUGCUAUAACUCCCAGCCGCUAAACCCCCAAUUUUUUGUGGUUGACCUCGGAUCAGGUAGGAAUACCCGCUGAACUUAAGCAUAUCAAUAAGCGGAGGA